GCACUGACCUCAGUGGGUCACAGGUUGUAGGUACUUUUGGGAAUCUGAUGAAAACAAUGAACUUGCCCCAGCAAAAUGCAACACACACACACACACACACACACACGCACACCCCAACACAGUUCUGCAUACAUUUCAGGGGCUCUGCUGGCCCUCUGCAGCCCAUCCACAGACUUCCGUGGACCCAGGGUUAGGAAUCCUUCCUUAAAGAGGGUUGCGGUCAUCUGUGAGGAAGAACAGCUGACAGGCAAUUUCAAAGGAACACAGGAAUGAGGCCAGGCCUGUAAUAACGAGCUGCCAAGUGCUUUGGGAUCUCAGAGGAAGGCGUGAUGCAUCUCCAUUGAGGGCACCAGGGAGCUCCUCUUGGCGGAGCUGGAGCUGGCACCUGGGCUGGCCCGCAGGGCUCAGCAUCGGGAAGGGAAAGGGCCGACACGUGAAUGCAGCGCUGCAGCCCCUGGGUCCACCCCGAGCUGAGAGAAGCAGGAGGCAACAGGUCCUGAGACUCUAACAGGCUAGAGAAUUCCAAAUUGUAGCUGCAAAGAAACAUGCCCCUAUCUGGAUGUCCUUGGGGAGAGGGCUGGAAAGCUUAUUAGAGCAUAUGUUAGCUUUAACCAAAGUUCUCAAACUUUGGUGUGCAUAAGAAUUUUGAGGGGCGGCAGGACUUGCUAAAAGUGCAGAAAUAUGCCCUUCCCCACCCAUUCUAGAGUACAGGAAUCUGCAUUUUACAGCACCCCAAAUGAUGUGGGGGAUUCAUCUUUGGGGAGCCCGUUCUCUCUGGGUGCAGAUCACAGAGCUGCUACCCUGACAGGGCAGAGACAUAAUCAUGCCACCCCUCCCCAGGCGGAGCACAUCGCCCUCUGGUCCUGCGGGGCUGGGGGCUCCUGACGGGAAGGAGAGGGCAGGAGGACUGAGCUUGCCCUGCGCUCAGGGAACAGGGUAGGAGCUAAGGGUUUCGUCUCUGCCAGCACCCCAGGGCACCCCACCCAUUCCCCAGGGCAGGGCAGGAGCUGCCUCCUCCCCUUCAAACCUCUUCCCCUCCAGCUGCGACAGAUGCCAGCACCACCACGUUGGUCGUGCCCACAUCUGUGCUUGCACACUCGGAACACCCAGUGCUUGUGCUCACUGGGGGCCUCCUGAGCUGGGGUCUGGCGGGGUUGAGCUGAGACUUGGCUGGGAGACGGAGGGUCUAUGGCAACGAGGAGUGGGGGGCUCAGAGCCGAAGCAGCUAUGCACAGCUGAGAGGGGAAAGCUGGCUUGGGUGGGCUCUGGCCGGGCAGAGGGGCUGAGUCUAUGCCAUUGGGAAUGGCCCAUGGCUGAAGGGGGAAGGGACACAGACAGGGUAUCAAAGCACAAGCUCCAGGCCUCACAUCUCUGGACCACCAGACAUUUGCCCUGGGCUGGGGACCCCUCAUUUGGUAGUAGGUUUUUUGUCACACUUGGAGAUGAAGCUCAGUGGCAAGGAAACAUGGGGAUUCACCCCCGACGCACACAUGUACGCGAGUGCACACACACACACACACACCUGUACGUAUACACCUGUUUUGGAGCAAGAGGAUGGAACCACAGCAUUCCAUCAAAGCCUUCAGAGCUCACCUGGCCAAGCACACUCACUCCACAGGAGGAGACGAGAAGGUCAAAGGCAGAAGGGGAGGUCAGUGGAAGCAGAGGUUGGAGCGCCGCGCUUUGCAGCCGGAGGAAGGAGCACAAGCCAAGGAGAGCGGGCGGCCUCUAGGCGGAAAAGCAAGGAAACGGGUCCUGCCCUCUGAGGUUAAGCCCAGUACGACUCAUUUCAGACUUCUGAA